GAGCAAAAGGAGUAAUCCGCCCAAGGAGGGGCUCGCAUCUGAUUAGUUAGUUGGUGAGGCAAUGGCUUACCAAGGCGACGAUCAGUAGCUGGUCCAAGAGGAUGAUUAGCCACACUGAGACUGAGACACGGCCCAGACUCCUAUGGGAGGUAGCAGUGGGGAAUUUUCCGCAAUGGGUGAAAUCCUGACGGAGCAAUGUCGUGUGAAGGAAGAAGGCCCAUGGGUCAUGAACUUCUUUUCUUGGAGAAGAAACAAUGACGGUAUCUGAGGAAUAAGCAUCAACUAACUCUAUGCCAGCAGCCGCGGUAAGACAGAGGAUGCAAGUGUUAUCCGGAAUGAUUGGGCGUAAAGGGUUUGUAGGUGGCUUUUCAAGUCCGCCAUCAAAUCCCAGGGCUCAACCCUGGAUAGGCGGUGGAAACUACCAAGCUAGAGUAUGGUAGGGGCAGAGGGAAUUUUCGGUGGAGCGGUGAAAUGUGUUGAGAUCGGAAAGAACACCAACGGCGAAAGCACUCUACUGGGAUGACACUGACACUGAGAGACGAAAUCUAGGGGAGAAAAUGGGAUUAGAUACCACAGUAUUCCUAGCCGUAAAUGAUGGAUACUAAGUGUUGUGCGUAUCGACCCGCGCAGUGUUGUAGCUAACGCGUUAAGUAUCCCGCCUGGGGAGUACGUCCGUGUUAAGAACCAAACAUCAAUAUAGCAUAGAAAAACCUCAGGAAAAGUACUCAACACCUUU
rnacentral:rRNA from 1 species